GAAGUACUCCUUUCGUUCGAAAAUACUUGUCAUUAAAAUGGACAAAAAAGGAUGUAUCUAGAACCAAAAUACAUCUAGAUACAUCCCCUUUUAUUCAUUUUGAAGACAAGUAUUUCUGGACGGAGGGAGUAUAAG
rfam:Triticum aestivum genome assembly, contig: Triticum_aestivum_CS42_TGACv1_scaffold_514254_6BS